CUCCCUUAAUUUGUGGCUUUCUCCAUUAUUGUUGAAGGAGAGAAGCUCAGCAAAAACCAGAGAAACCGAGCAGCAACAGCCCUCCACCGUCGCAUGCCCAUCGGACUCCAUUUCUUCCUCUGUUUUCUCCUCGUUUCAAUUUUUGCUCCAGCUGACCUUUCGCCAAAGAUUCGAGUUAAAAGUCGACUUCCCAGAUGAAUCAGCGAACGCUCCACCCACGUCCGUGACGAGGACAUCCAGCCCGUUCCGGAGCAUCCUGCCGCUCGCCGGAACGAUUCUCCAGUUGUCCCGAAAUCCUGAGAGAAGCUGCCACUCGCCGGACCGUCUGGUUCCACCCUGCUCCGCCUGUUCUGCGUUUUCUUGCUGUUUUUCCCCUUUCCGACCCUUCCUUUGCCCAUCCCAACCUCCUACAAGAUCCUCAAGACCCCCCUGGAGCCAUUGGUUGCCAACCACCCGCUUGCCGGAGCUCCGAUCGGCCCAUUUUCACCGUUGAAGUUGCUGGUUUCUUCUCUGCAGUUCAGUCCAGAUCAGAAGCAGAAGACAGCAAGGUUUUGGAGACUUUGUGGCCCAUUUUCAAGACCUUCCCGGCCUCCGUUGGUGUCGCCGCUUUGGAAUUUAUCGACCGCCUUGGCGUCGUGGUCGCCGUGAACUCACCGGCGCGCAAAACCGGUCCCUAGAUGACGGUCGUGGAGGAUCGGAAGUCCUGGAGUUCGGAAGGUGUAGGCUGAAGAAUCGGCGAACGUGUCUGACAAGUUGGUCAUAGGACAAUUCCCUAGUUGUUGAGCCUAUCUAUUUUGUAGACCAUCCAGUGCUGUAUAUAAACCUAUGUGUUUAUAGAAAGCUUGUUGGGUUGUGAUUGA